rnacentral:lncRNA from 1 species
CUUGCUAGCUAUUUCAUUAUUAUGAAACAUAGGGAUGAAAUAAAAAGCAACUCACAAAAAAAUACAGAAAAACAGCAACUGACAAAAAAAAUUACAGAAAAAUAGCAACUCAAAAAAAAAAAGCUAGAAGGAAGAAGUGAAGAACCACUCUUCUUUCUCUUCAUGAAAAACAAUGGAAGAGUAGACCUUAAUACUAAUGCAUACUAUAUUUAUAUGGCUAAAUUGCUUCACAGCUGACCAGCUGCAUUAAUAAAAUUUAAACAGUAACUACUAAGUGUAUUGCUGGUUCUAAUUUAUCUUUGUAAUACAAAAUGAACCCGAAAUGAAUCAAUUUAAUUGAAUGCCAAUGCAGUGAAUGCAGAAUCAAGAACACAAGUGAGCUAAACAGGAUAUGUUUGCAGUUAUGCAAACAGAAAAUAUCAGGAGCUAUGCAAAUCCUUGACAACUAUACAAGCAUACACAACAUACACAACUUCAAAGGCCAACAGAAUUCUUUCCUAAAUCUUGACAUAAUGAACACUAGAAAAUUGAUGUUCAUCCUAUAACACAAACAACUCAUUCAUCCUAUAACACAUACAACUCAUUCACCUAUAACACAUCAUCAUCAUCAUUACUAAACUGUAAAAGUGACACAUUCACUGUAAACUCUAAACCUAUAACUCAUUUACUGUAAAUUGACAUCAUUCACUGUAAACUCAUUCACCUAGCUAUAACACAUGCACUGUAAACUCAUUCACCUAGCUAUAACACAUGCACUGUAAACUCAUUCACCGAUAACACAUCACCUAUAACACAUUCACCUAUAACACAUCAUCAUCAUCACUACUAAACUGUAAAUUGACAUCAGUGUAUUAGAUUCUUACCGUAAGCCCGUCUAUCAACUUCUUCUUCUCAGAGUCACCGAUGCAUUCCCAGUUUCCGGCCGACAAUUUGACUUUGGAUCGAAUUAUGCAACCAAUGCUAUUGACCAGGAGGCUGUUCACUGAUGAUGAAGACGGUCCUCUGAUGAAGUCGUCAUACACAACUUCGAUCAAGCCGGAAACUUUCACAAUUCGUUUCACCUUGUCCAGGUUGCCGAACCCUCGUCGGCGUU